GAGCCUAAGGACAGCCUUUGCUCAGGGUUGUGUUUAAUUCUCCUUUCCUCUCAAGCAGUUUCCUCCUUUUGUUCCGUCCUGUCUGUUGUGGAAGUUUAGGAACUGAAGCAAGGCAUGCCGUAGAGUGAGACCAGCAUCACACUGCCACCUUGCAAAGCACUAGACUGAGAGAUGCAAACCCAAACCAAAAAGGUACGCCUUCUAAGGCCACCACCAUGACCGAGGCACAAGACACAAACAGCAGCAAAGGAAGCCUUGCAGUUAAGGAUACAUCUGCUGGGUGCCUAGCAUCCUCAGCUCCGCUUUCAUCUUUUCGUGUCUCAACACAUUGUUUCCUCCAGUCCUGAUGGCAGUGUGGAAGGGAGCCAUCCCACCCGGCCGCGCUUUGGGAUUGGCAGCGAAUGAAUGAUUGGCAGCGGGCAUCUCUGUCAGAGCUUUGGCAUGCCGCAGAGUGGGAGCCCCGUGCUAAUGAAUGCCAUCUACACCUACCAGAUGUGCCCUGGGUGGCAUGCCAGGUCUUUUACAUAAUGCCAUUCUGCCGGACACGAGACAGCUGGGGGUGGGGGUGUCUUUUGAUGCCUAGGGGUAGGAGUGGGUCUGUCUUCCCUUUAUUUUAUUUUUUAUAUUCAGACUACCUUUCACUGUCCAUAAGUUCACUCAGCCCCCAUUAUGUUACCCCUGAAGAGUCUGACGCUGAAGAUGUCGAAGGGACAGCUCUACGCUGGAGAAAGUAUAGAGUCCUCGGAACGUGUACCCUGGCCUCCUGUGCACCAUCGCUUACCUGCUACUUCCUCGGGUUUGUUCUCGGCUGGCAUCGCCAGAGAAACCUCUUAGACGUGUACAGAAGGAAUUAAAAGCUCCUGGGAGACCUGAAAUGAGAGGAGGGGAGGAGAGAGGCCACCCUCUCUGUUAAAAGAAAAAAAAAGUGCACUGAGCGUCCCACGCUUCCUCGGACCCCUGGUUCUUCCCUCUGCCACCACCCUUAAGAAACUAAAGUCUGUUUUCCCGAGGGAA